GGACGACCCACCUGACCUCUCAUCCAGUCUCUCCUCACAGCACAACACCUACCUCUCGUCCAGUCUCUCCCUCUCAUCUUUCGUUCCUCUCACCUCUCAUCUCUCUCAAAUCUCAAUCUAUCUCCAUUGUUAUUCUAUCUCCAUGGUGAUUCCACGGCUCCACCUUGUGUUGAAUCAAUGGAGACGCUGCUAUGUUGAAUCAAUGGACGAAGAUUAGAGAUGCUGAGUUUGUUGAAUAGAAGAUGGUUCUCAAAUCUAAACCCAUAUUAGAAAGCAAAGAUGGUAGAGAAGCAAGGGUUAGAGACAUGCAUGUCUCUAAAUCUGACGAAAAUGGCACUGCAAAAUGAAAUUGAUUAGUGCUUCUUGACCCUUUCAAUUGCAAUGUGGGUUUAGUGUAGGUUUGUUUAUUUUUAAUUGCAAUUAUUCCUUCUAAAUUUUUUAGACCUUCUCUUCUCUGUGAAUAUUUGAUUUUGAAAUUUUUAAUAUGUGAUAGUGAAAUUUUGAAAAUGGUUAAUAAAUAUUGAUACUUGAAAUAUGUGAUUUGUGAAGUGUUAAUGUUGAAAAUGAAGAGAUUG
rnacentral:misc_RNA from 1 species